rnacentral:rRNA from 1 species
AGUCGCGAGCAAUCCGGCUAGUAAACCGGCGCAGGGAGAGUAACACGUGGACAACCUGCCCUGGAGACUGGGAUAACCCGUCGAAAGACGGACUAAUACCGGAUAAGACCACGAGGGGUUCGCCCCUUGAGGUAAAAGGUGGCCUCUGCUCCUGCAAGCUAUUACUCCAAGAAGGGUCCGCGCCCUAUCAGCUAGUUGGUGAGGUGACGGCUCACCAAGGCAAAGACGGGUAGCUGGUCUGAGAGGAUGGUCAGCCACACUGGGACUGAGACACGGCCCAGAGUCCUACGGGAUGCAGCAGUCAGGAAUAUUGCGCAAUGGAGGAAACUCUGACGCAGCGACGCCGCGUGGGUGAUGAAGGCCUUCGGGUCGUAAAGCCCUGUUUUUUUGGGAAGAAAAGCUUGCUGGCUAAUAUCCAGCAGGCCUUUGACGGUACCCUCAAAGGAAGCACCGGCUAACUCCGUGCCAGCAGCCGCGGUAAGACGGAGGGUGCAAGCGUUGUUCGGAUUGACUGGGCGUAAAGGGCGUGUAGGCGGUUGCCCAAGUCCGAUGUGAAAGCCCGGGGCUUAGCCUCGGAAGUGCAUCGGAAACUAGGCAGCUGGGAGCGCGAUAGAGGAGGGUAGAAUUCCUUGGUGUAGCGGUGAAAUGCGUAGAUAUCAGGAGGAAUACCGGCGGCGAAGGCGGCCCUCUGGGAUCGUUGCUGACGCUGAGACGCGAAAGCGUGGGGAGCAAACAGGUUUAGAAUACCCUUGGUAGUCCACGCCUGUAAACGAUGGGUACUAGGUGUUCGGGGUAUUGACCCCCUGAGUGCCGCAGUUAACGCAUUAAGUACCCCGCCCUGGGGGACUACCGGCCGCAAGGUUAAAACUCAAAGGAAUUUGAACGGGGGCCCGGCACAAACCGUGUGGAGCAUGCUGGUUCAAUUUCGAGCGCAACGCCAAGAACCUCUACCUGUGGGCUGAGACAACGGCGCGAUCCGCCCGAGAAAUCGGGGUUUUCCCUUCCGGGGACUGCCGGUUCACGGGUUGCAUGGCUGUCGUCACCUCGUGUCCUGAGAAGUGGGUUAAUGUCCGCAACGAAGCGCAACCCCUGCCCUAAUU